rnacentral:lncRNA from 1 species
UCUAACAUGUCCAACGUCAUCUUACUUUAGCUUGGUAUCGAUCAACAGCACCAAACGUUGCUAUGAAUAAACUUCAAUUUAUGUCCGCGGCACAAUCAAAAUAAUUUAUAUCAAUUAAAUUAGCCAAUUCUAAAAGCAAAUUAACACAAUUCGUCCCUCUGCCAACAACAACCUGCAACAGUGAGAGAAGAAGAAAAUAAGACCGAUUCCACGAAGAAGAAAUAAAAAGAAAAUGAAGGAAGAACAAACAAGGAGGGAAGCAGAUGGUCACGAUGAUGGUGAUGGGGUCUUUUCCUAAAGUUUAUGAAAAGAUGAGAUUU